GUAAAGUCCACUUUACAUCAACAAUAAAUUGGACAAGAAAUUGACCAAGUUAUUCAAGGCCAAAUUUGACGUGUAAAAGCACACUUUGACAUCUAAGUUUGUUCGUUAUAAACUUCACGUGAAGAAAUUGACGAAAAAGAAAAUUGUUCUAUUUUUUCAUUUAUUUGGCGUGAAUUCAGUGUCACCAACCUGUGUCCAUUUGGCGGGAAGUGGAAGUAGAGCUUUUUGUUUAUUAUUAUUUGUUGAGGUUGAGUCUUUCAUGUUCAUGACAACCUAAAAAUUUUGAUUGGAAAAUGCAUAUAAGAUAAGGGGGUGGGAAAAUGGAAAUUAGUGGCUUUUUUGCAGUUCUGUCUGUUAGUUUUGCUCUGGCUGGGUCUCUUUUGUUUAAACAAUUAUAAUCAGCUGAAAGUGGUCUACAAAAAAACCAGGAAGGAAACGUAUUAUAGCCUUGUUGUGGCUAUGAAAGGCAAAAGAAAGAUACCUAUAAAAAGUGUAUUGACUAGUUGGAAGAAACUCCACAUUGUCGAUGCAUAAUAAGAUAUUACUUUAUAAACAAAUAUCAAGACCUAGGAAUGGAACCUGGAUAAUAUAGUCAUCAAGAAGAUAGCAGGAGGUCAUGAGCAACAACAACUUCAUAAGUAUGAGAAUAUUGAGGAAAUCCAGCUCCUCGAUAUCUACUACUGGACAAACUAGAAGAUUGAAGAGGACAAAGCCUUUUGAACUAGUUUGAGUGAUAGGUGAUAGUGAAAAGCAGAGCGUAGUGCUUGUGUGCCUGUGUAUGUUAGAAUAGUGCACGAUCUUGUUAGAUUAGAUAAGAGACGCUAUAGGGUAAGCUCUUCAUUUUAAGGAACAGUAGUAAUUUAGGUUAAAUUAAAAUUGCUCAUUGGUCAGUUAUGACCAGAUUGUAAUUCUCUGAUGUUUGGCAAAAAGAGCUGAAGUCAGAAUUGCACAUCAAUAAUGUUUUGAUGAUUUCUGGACCAUAAAAAAAGUGUUGCAGACUUAAACUGUAUGUACCAAUAAAAAGAGCCGAUUUUUCUGGUCCAGAAAUCAUCAAAACAUUUUCGAUGUGCAAUUCUGACUUAAGCCCUUUUUCCCAAACAUCAGAGAAUUGCGAUGUACAAUUCAAUACAAAUGAAUCAUCAUCGUAGUGAUGAUUAUGGAAAAAAAAAAUAUAUAUAUAUAUAUAGAAAUAUAUAUAUUUUGUGCAAUAAAAAUGUUUAUAUUUAUCAAGGAUGUAUUAUUUGGAAUGGCCACAUAUACUUCUGGUAUAUCGUCGGUGAUGUGACAAUACCUCCUAUCUGCUUUUUCAUGAAUUUUGUAGGAGACGAAAAACCAUUUUUAGGGUCAUCUGUUUUCACAUGUAAAUUUUGACAUGUUUUGUAGUAAAUAGAUAAUUGAAUUUACUACAAAACAUGUCAAAAAAUAUCAUAUGAAAACAGGAGGUGACUGUAAAAAAAGUUUUUAGUCUCUCUUACAAAAUGGUUAACAGUUAAUAGAGAGACAGAUAAUCGAGGUUCCACUGUAUAGUGAAAUUUGGACACCCGACACCCCAUACAAAUUUUAUGGGGGUUUUGUUCGUUUAAACCCCCCCCCCCCCAAACUUUUGUGUAAGUUACAAUUGAAUUAUUAUUGUGGUACUAUUAAACACAAUGUUUUUAAAACUUUUUUGCCUCUUAGUACUUUUUUGAAGUCAGUUUUUAUCGUGAUAUUUUGAAUAUUUGUCAAAUCCACCACAUAUUUGUAUAUGGUUAAGUACGAUUGUAGAGACUAAUAAUAUGAAAAUUUAUUUAUGAUUUACAUUUUUAGGUAUAUUUUGAACCAUUUUAAAAAGAAGCCAUAUCUUGAUAAAAAGAGCUUUAUCGAAAAAAUAGAAAGAGGUAAAACAGUUUUAAAAACACAGUGUUUAACUAAUGGUACCGCAGAAAUAAUUUAAUUGGAACGUACCCAAAAGUUUGGGGGGGUUAAAGGGAACAAAACCCCCAUAAAAUUUUUAUGGGGUGCACAAAUUUCACUAUAAUUUUUCUUUAAGAUGUUACUGCAAUAAUAUUGCUUCAUGUCCAUUUUCAAUAAAAAAUCUUUAAUAGUUUUCGAUAUAUUCGAAAAAAUCGAAUUUUCAUUUUGUAUCUUCAAAGGGCUGUAACUUUUUUUGUGUGCAUAUUUGUACUAAGGUAAGUUAGGUUCAUUCAAAUUAUUUUUGGUCCCAGAAUAUGUGAUUUAAUUUACGACCAAUCUUUUCGGGACACCCUGUAUAAUAAAUGGGAUUAGCUGGCUUAAAAAUUCAUAAUCUACGUUCUGUAGAAAAUAUACAGUUUUUGGUUUCUUUUUAACUAGAUCUUAAUAUCUAACCAAGCAUUUUAAGACCUUUUUAUUAUUUUUUCGAUGAUAUAUUCAUGUUUUUAGUUUGUUCAAAAUAUUCUAGAUGAUUGUACACUAUAAUAGAUAGCCAACUAAAUAAACACAAAAAUUUUAUUUUUGUUACAGCCUGUAUAUAAGUUUACCUAUAUAUACAGUGCAUUACGCACCACCUUAAAAAUUGGGCAUUUUUGAUGUCUCGAAUUUCCUAAACCUGUUGUCCCAUCUAAGUGAUUUUUUUAUAAUAAUAUAGCCUGAGGCUAUAGGUUACUGCCUUAUGCUUGUCAUGCACGGGGAGCUAUACUGUAAUAUAUAUUAUAUCACGUCGCUCUCUAUAGUAAUGAGUGAGCCUGCACAUACGGAACCAUUAGUUCCCUGUCUGCAGGCUCACUCAUUACUAUAGAGAGCGAUAUGAUAUAAUAUACAUAUAUUACAGUAUAGCUACCAGUGCAUGACAAGCUUAAGGAUGUAACCUAUAGCCUAGGCUAUAUUAUAAAAAAAUCACUCAGAUGAGACAACAGGUUUAGAAAAUUCGAGACAUCAAAAAUGCCCUAUUUUUAAGGUGGUGCGUUAAUUUCUUGGAGAAGUGUAUUGUAAUUUAAUGUAAAUAAUGUAAUAUCCAAUAAUUGUAAUUUAAUAUAAGAUGUAAUAUAAGUUCCUUAAAAA
rnacentral:lncRNA from 1 species